CAGCCGCCGCGGGAAUACGAAGGGGGCUAGCGUUGUUCGGAUUUACUGGGCGUAAAGGGCGCGUAGGCGGACUGAUAAGUCAGGGGUGAAAUCCCAAGGCUCAACCUUGGAACUGCCUUUGAUACUGUUUGUCUUGAGUUCGAGAGAGGUAAGUGGAAUUCCAUGCGUAGCGGUGAAAUGCGUAGAUAUAUGGAGGAGCACCGGUGGCGAAAGCGGCUCUCUGGUCUGUCACUGACGCUGAGGCUCGAAAGCGUGGGUAGCGAACAGGAUUAGAUACCCCCGUAGUCCCUGUCUCUUAUAC
rnacentral:rRNA from 1 species